UGGAGCAGCAAAGGAGGGAGGAGGAGAGGGGAGGAGAAGGGGUGGGGGGGAACAAAACAGAGAGAGCUGAACCAUGGCAACCAGACACACAACAAAGUUUGUGCAGGCAGCCUCUGGCUCACUCUGGGCCCUUCCCCGCUUAGACAAUGAGCCAGCUCAAACACAGCUCCGUGCACAUUAAUCAUCAGGAGGUUCCUGAGGAGCACCGCCGGGCCUCAUCUGCAGUUUAAUCUGCACAGCGUUCUUACGUUCUUCUACGUGCAUUUGUCUCAUUUCGUGGUGGAGGCGCUGACCACAACUGACCCUUCUUACUUCCUCUUUCCCAUUUGAAAGGCAGGGUUUCCUAGUACAAGUGUCUUGGCAGUUUUCAAAGGGCAGAAUCAGCGGCACCCAGCAUGUGUGUUGCAAUUAACACGCGUGUGGUUACGCUUUAUUUUAUCGACAAAAAACAGUCAUCUGGUUGUCCUAGUGCAUAAGAUGUUCGACUAGAUAAGACAACUUAGAGUGAAAGGGUAAACCCGGUGGUGCACGUGGCCAACAGAAACAGCAGCCUGACUCCAGAUAACUGUCAACGGUCAAGUCCGUCUCUACUUCUGAGAAAGAAAAAAAAUCUUAAGAGUUUGACUUGGGCCGUGCUCAGAGGUUCUCUCCUUUCACUCUCCUGCAGGACCUGAACUUGCCGCUGGGUCUUGUUACACAGCGGCUUCAAUCACAUGAUAUGUUUGUGCUUCCUCUCCAGCUGUCACCAUGGUAACCUUGUUUACGGUUGCCCCCAGCAACAGGUCAAACACAGAACUCCAAAACAAAAAGCAGAAUUCCCCAGACCCUCUUAACAAGAGCGUUUUUACCGCCACAUUUUUUUAUUACGCAGGAAAAGCAGCGUGUCUUAAAAAGAAAGAAAGGAGAAGGAGAAGUGUAAAGGAGAGACAAGCACGCACACACACGUACACACACACACAUACACACGCACAGUCUGCUGUAAGCACCGGCUCGCUAAGAUUAAACCCUUGUAUUUGUAGAAGCAUCACCAACGGUGCUAUUAAUUACACUGCACUCUGUUAUUUUUUAUUGGUCCAUUUAAUGAUUGUCUAUUGUUACUAUAAAUAGUAACAAAUUCAGAGACCAACAGUGGACACACAUCUAUUCACAGCAGCCCUCCAAAGAGUUUAAAUGGUUGGUUGGCAAAAGUAGAAAGAUAAAACUAUUACGGCCCCAAGAUUUAAUCAUUUUAACAAUAACUCCUCAGUAUUACCCAGAGUCCAAAAACCUCUGACUAACUGCCAAGACACUUGUAUUAAAUCCAGGCUUGAAUUUAAGGGCUGGCAAUAGAGUCCUGAAAAUAAAAAAAAAUAAAAAAAACAGAACCAGGAAAACUGAAAAGUCUCAGUCAGACUGCAGUCUGCUGAGGACGGGACGACACGCACUGGACCGGAAACAUAACAUUUGGUCAGAUGAGUUGAAACUGAAACGUUGUGGCUUAUACACAUACAUACAGUGAGGUGAGGUGUAUAAGGCAACAGGUAAGAUGUUACCCAGAAAAAAAAACACACAUUUUUCUCUGGGUUUGACAAAAUAACAUUAAUUCUGUAAUUUUUAUACAAAUUAAUGUAAUGAAAAAACUCAAUUCUGAACUUCUCGGAAACAACAGGUGGCGCUUGAUUUCCUACAAAGCGAUGAGAGGCGUAAACAUUAAACACCCAGAGACUGUGAGAGACGGUGAGAGUGACAGAAAUGCAGCGGCGGACAAAGACAGGAGCCCAUGUGCCUGUCCGCAGACAAGACAACACAAAGGCCCCGAGGGGAGGCCACCACAAAGACACCAAGAUGUCCACCCAGAGUGCUGAAAGGUUAAUUGGCAUGUCUUGAAAGCAGCACGGAGAUGAAAAGACAUCUGGAACAAAGGGAGUGUGGUGAGGCUGGACAAGAGCAGGGCAGGGAUAAUAUGAUAAGACCACAGCUUCACCGCUUUGUUCGCUGCCUCUCCACUGCCUGGAAAGGCCCUUUACAUCGCAAUCGUGGUUUUGUUGCACUGAUGGAAAACCACGGCACAGAUAAGACAACGAACAGGAAUGAUGUUGAAGGUGGUGGUGUUACCAUCUUUACCUAUGUACUGCUGGUGGUGUUGGCUCUGAGCAGCCACAGACUGCUCUGGAGUGCUGUUACAGUUCUGAGAGCUUCCACACAGGCUGUCAGACAUACCGUCCACCUUCUGUAGGGGCUUAAACCUGCAGACGGAGGACAGGGCAUUUCUUAUAGAAAAGAAAAGGAGAGUCCUGACCUCUGCUUCUGAUGGACCGGUUGCUGCCUCAUGGCCAUGUACUGCGUGUCCUCCUGCAGACGAUUCAGUGCAGAUCUCCGGUGCCUAUAAGUAUCAUCAUAUUCAUCACAUCUGUAAUGGUGACAUGAUUACAGUUAUCUGCAUCUUCAACACUGGCAACAAGUUCUACCCCAUCCGUACCUGGUGCCAAGGCGGCGAGUCCUCAAGCCCAU